CUGGGCUCUUUUAUAUUGCUGGCAAAAUAGUGACUCCCCAUGGAAUAGAGGUGUUGUUCAGCAGAAAUAAUCAGGAGUUGAAAUUAUACCAGGUAAAAAAAUAGAACCAAUAAUUUUGAAGGUGCUGUCAGGAGAGUUAUUGAAGUGGUCAUGAACUCUAAACUUACAGAGGCAGUUAUGUAAAGAUAAAAGAUAAAAACCUGGGGACUCAACAAUAAACCAGAUCAGUAUAGCUCUAUCUUUAUGAAGAGCAUACACAAUAAUUCAGGACUCAUAGAAGUCAAUGAGCAGAACACAGAAGACCCAACCUGAAGAAAUUCCAUAUAUGUGCUAAUCCUGUGUUAGUGUUUUAAAUAAUUUAUAUAAAAGGACAGAAACCUAGAAAUUCAUAUCAGAAUCUUUAUAUCACUUAUAGUUUUUAAAUAUAAUCAUCGGUAUGUUUUAUAUGUAUAUUAUUAUUUUGUAUUAUAGUUUUAGCCAUCAAACUUUUAAAGAAUUUAACUUACAAUU